UACAGAGGGGGCAAGCGUUGUUCGGAAUUACUGGGCGUAAAGGGCGCGUAGGCGGCCUUCUAAGUCGAACGUGAAAUCCCCGGGCUCAACCCGGGAACUGCGUCCGAUACUGGAAGGCUUGAAUCCGGGAGAGGGAUGCGGAAUUCCAGGUGUAGCGGUGAAAUUCGUAGAUAUUGGGAAGAACACCGGUGGCGAAGGCGGCCAACUGGACCACAACUGACGCUGAGGCGCGAAAGCGUGGGGAGCAAACAGG
rnacentral:rRNA from 1 species